rnacentral:rRNA from 1 species
UGCAGUCGAGCGGACCUUCGGGCUUAGCGGCAAACGGGUGAGUAACACGUGGAUAACCUACCUUAUGGUUCGGGAUAACCUCGGGAAACCGAAGCUAAUACCGGAUAGUAUGAUUUUUGCUUAAGCAGGAAACAUUAAAGAUUUAUUGCCAUAAGAUGGGUCCGCGCCUGAUUAGCUUGUUGGUGGGGUAAAAGCCUACCAAAGCGACGAUCAGUAGCCGGCCUGAGAGGGUGAACGGCCACAUUGGGACUGAGACACGGCCCAGACUCCUACGGGAGGCAGCAGUUAAGAAUCUUGCGCAAUGGGCGAAAGCCUGACGCAGCGACGCCGCGUGAAUGAUGAAGGUUUUAGGAUUGUAAAAUUCACUAAGUGGGGACGAAUAAGCCAUUCGUGGUGAUGACGGUACCCACCUAAAGCACCGGCUAACUACGUGCCAGCAGCCGCGGUAAUACG